AUACUUACCUGGCAGGGGAGAUACCAUGAUCAGGAAGGUGGUUUUCCCAGGGCGAGGCUUAUCCAUUGCACUCGGGAUGUGCUGACCCCUGCGAUUUCCCCAAACGUGGGAAACUCGACUGCAUAAUUUGUGGUAGUGGGGGACUGCGUUCGCGCUUUCCCCUG
ensembl:snRNA U1 U1 spliceosomal RNA